rnacentral:tmRNA from 1 species
GGGCUUGUACUGGUUUCGACAGGGAUUUUGAAGAUGGAGAAGCUAUCCGCAGGCGAUGCGUCAAAUCGCAACUUUAAAAUUAAACGCAGAAGAUAAUUACGCGUUAGCAGCCUAGUUGCUGCUUGUCAGCCUUAGAGCACUCACACUUUAAGAAUCUGGCAUCGACUUUGUGAGAAACGAUACCGGCAAAGCUUUGAGUCGGUAGGCGUAUUAUGAAGCUACCAAACCUCUAAGGGUGUUAGUUCUCGUAGAGCAGAGGGAAUGAAAAAGAACUGACUAUGAUAGUAGAAGUACAUGGGAUAGGUUUCUGGACGCGGGUUCGAUUCCCGCCAGGUCCACU